AUCCUGACUGGGCCCCCAGUCUGAAUUUGGGGUACAAGAGAAAGGUCAUUGACAAAAAUGACAGGUACAACCGUCGCAAGGCGAGAAGCGCUGCAAACAAGAGGGCUCUGCAAGCUGCUCAAGACUGCCCCCCUUCCGCUGAGGAUGGCUCUCCUGCUGAGGAUGGCUCUCCUGCUGAGGAUGGCUCUCCUGCUGAGGACGGCCCUCCCGCUGAGGAUGACCCUCCAGCUGAGGACAUCGAAACUCAAC